UCGAUGCGACAACGAUAAUGCAGCGAAA
rnacentral:sRNA from 1 species